rnacentral:lncRNA from 1 species
GUGGUUUAACCGGAUGUGUUGGGGUUGGGUUGACAGGUGGUUUAACCGGUGGUGGUGUCGUAACUGGCGUUGUCGUGGGUGGCUUAACCAGUGGCGUUGGGGGUUUGUACGUAGGUGGUUGAACCGGCGGUGGUUUGAUCAGUGGUGUUGUGGGUGGUUUAACCGUUGGCGUUGGGGGUUUGUACGUAGGUGGUUUGACCAGUGGUGCUGUGGGUGGUUUGACCGGAGGAAUUGGGUACGAUUUAACCGGUGGUUUCGUUGGUGUAACCGGACUGGUGGGAGGUUUGACCGGUGGUAGUGUGGUGGGUGGUUUAACCGGAGGUAUAGUGGUGGGUGGUUUAAUCGGGAUAGUAGGCAGCGUGGGUGGCUUGUACGACGGAGACGGCGGUUUGAUUGCCGGAGACGUCGGUGGUGGCGUUGGUAAAGAAACCUAUAAAUUGCAAACAUUGGAAUACCAAAAGUUCACUUUAUUAUACAAAAAAUACUUUAUUUGCCAAUUUUUUUGUAAAAAAAGUUUAAUUUGCCUAACUAAUGCAUAGUUACAAAUAUACAUAUUUAUUUAAAAAGUUAAAACGUAAAAUCAGAAAUUUAGAAACAUACUAGUGUCUUGGAUUCCUCAUCUGAAGCAGCAAAAACAACCUGCUCGGUGAUUGAUCAAAUUAUACAGAUAGUUAAAAUGUGCAAAAACGUAACGCCAACGGAAAACAUUAAUAACAUCUUUUUGUUAAAAAAUACUAGUCACUUACAUUGGUAAAGACUUGAAGAAAGAUGAAGACUGAAAGUAGUGAGAAAGCCAUUUUUGUGGGAGAUGAGGAAGUGGUGAAGUCACACGAAGAAGACCAUUGCUUUUUGUGCUAUAAAUAGAAGUUCGUUUUUUUAUUAAUAUAUUUUAUUAUCCAUAAAAUACAACUAAAUACAGUAAUUUAAAUGCAUAGCAAGUGCUAGGUCCAGAGUAGUUAUUAUAUGCAAUAUGCAUGCCAGCUUUGAACUUUCACUGCAUCAUAAUUUUUCAGAGCUCGAGGAACAAAAUAUCAGACUCCCAAAAUGGAUAUUAUAGAAAAUAUAUGAAAUUCCCAUUUUUAUUCCUACCUCAACUUGGACAGUUUAUUAGAAUAAGUAAAAACACUUUUUUUCUUAUUCUUUCUGUUGUAUAAUAGUUGAUUUUCUGAGUAUUUUUUUUGUUUCAUAAUAUUUGAUUUAUUGUGUGUAAUUAAUACAUAUUUGUAAUUAAUGCAUGUUUCUAUUCUCUAUUGGUGGAAAAGUUAAAGUAAUAUUAAUAAAAGUAAUAAAUUAAUUGUAAAAUAAAUUAAUCAAAAAAACAAAAUAGAAAAUAAUUGAAUAUUUAUUGCUUCUUAAUCUAUGUAUAAUAUUUCAGAAAAUCAACUAUUAUAAAACAGAAAGAGUAUUUUUUAAUUAGAAAUCUUUAAAGUAUAUGGACUAUGGUGAAAAUAUAGGAUAUGUUAGAGUACCCCGAGAAACUAGUGGCUGACAUUACUAACUUUAUUAUAAUAAGGAUGCUAAAAUUUUAUAAAUAGCAUUCGAUUUGCCCAUAAGGCUGUGUCGUUUAUAUAAAAAGUCCGUUCGCUUCGAUUAUUGCACCAGUGAGAAGUAGUUUGUCGUGUAUUUGUUAACUGUCCUACGAUAAAGUGUUUUGAAAUAUCUUAGUUACUUUUUUUUUUCUUUUGGUCGAAGAUGUUACGAAUAUCUUAGUUACUUAUAUAGUAUAUCCUUUAUAUUUUUUAUAAAAAAAUCUUAAGUGUUAUCAAAUCAGAGACGGACAAUGGCACAUGAGUUCUUUAAAUUGUUUCGGUGAUUUAUUAUUUAGUUCUGAUUUUUCGAAAAGGGGUCAACAGUUCAAUAAAGUGAAAUCGACAACUGCGUAUAGAAUUCGAUAUUUUAUCAUUACAUAUGUCUUGAGUAGUGAGUACACUUUCCUCUUUUUUGGUAGAGCAUGAUAAUAAUUUGUCACGAAUGAAUUUGCUUCAACUUUAUUUAAACCUUUUUUUUUAAUCUUAUCUAUUAUGUGUAAUAAUAAAACAGAUUCCACGACAUCAUAAUUUCAUAAGUUUAUAAGGAGAAACAGACUACAGAUGUGUUUGUUAUCUUCUUCGUUUCACUGAAACAAAGAUUAUAUAUAAAGCCAUUGGUAACAAGUAUACUAUAUACAUAUAUAUGUAUAAAACUAUAAAUCAAAGUAAAUUAUUACAAUAAUAUUAUGAACUAUGGUCUAAUGAUAAAUUAUGCUAAUUUUUUUAUUAUUUAAGUGACAACUGACAACAAUACUUAUAUCGUAAGUUGAAUUAAGAAAAAUGUAGAAAGAUUUCCUAAUAAUAUACUAUUUGCUAUGGUCGUUAAAGAUAAGACUCAAAAACUCACUAGCCAGAUUUGCUGUUUGUCAGAGACAUAAUUAGCCAAGCUGCGUUAGUCCAAUUGAAUGUCAGUUAUUUUGGUCAAUAAUCUCCGAUUACAAAAGGAGAAGUAAAGAAUUUGUGUACAAAAGGAGAAGUAAAGAAAUUGUGUUCUAAUUGACAAAACAAAAAAAAAAAGAAAUUGUGUUCUAAGCAGAGAUAAAAGUACAACAACGCAUGAGCUGUGAGUCACUAUAUAUAUAUAUAUAUAGACACAAAACUACAAACUAUGGAACCCGAAAGUCAAUAAGAAUCCCAACCUCCAUGCUUUGUGGGAACCCUUAUGACCCAUUAAUUUUUGUGUUUCUUUAACAUUAAUUUCCGUUUUUUUUUUUGGUUAUCUACCACAUUGUCUUCUUGCAAGGAACAAAUGAAAGAAAAUAUCAUUAAAACUGAGCAUAAUGCAAUGUGUUUCCAUAAUGACAAAACGGAGGAGAAGGACUAUUUAACUAGACCAGAACCUCAUCUUCAUCUUCGAAGCUUAGAUUCAAAGUCUGUAACUUAAAUCCAGCUCCUUGUAUAGUCUCCACCAAGCUUGACGCCACUCCUGUUGCUUGAACCGUUGUUUGCUUUGAAAGCUUCACACAGACACACACACAUUGAACAUAACAAAAGUUAGAUUCAAUCGUUUGAUCCAAAACAUCAAACAUAAAGUUAUUGUAGUGAUUUUCAUCCAUCGAAAACACGACGGUUCCUAUAAAGGCCUUGACUUUUCAAGGUUUAGAGGCCCAACCCAGCGGUAAACCGCCAAAAUGUAGAAACCAAGUGACAUACUUUAUCAGUCCAGUCUUUGUAGUACUGUGCAGGCCAAAGUAUCUCUAAUCACACAUAUUCAAAAUCUUGUCCUCAUCUAUAAAUAUCCAUGUGUAUGUGUGUGCUUAGGCAUGUAAAGGCAAUGUAUCAAGAGAAUGCUGGAUGUAAACAUACCUCAACGACGGCAACACCUUCAGAAACCCGAACCUUUAAAUUGGAAACUCCAUCGAUAUCCUGAAAGAACAAACAAGAUUGGCUAUUGGAACUAUAUGUUCACUGUUUUUGAAAUUAAAGGCAAAUAGUUAUCUUAAGGGUGUCAAGAGUAAAGUAAACACCGAAAAUUUGGGUUUAACACAAUUACAGAGAUAGGAUUGAAUCGAAACAAGUAACCAAAAGGGUUUUAUAUAGUCCAAGAAACAGAUGCAAUCACAAAGAUUCUCCUCGAGCCCCAAACAGAUUUGCUAGUUCACGGAGAGAUCUAAAAGCAAAGUAUUACCUGUAAGGCCUUUGUUACAUUAGGAAUAGCUCCUUCGUUCAAAGUUCCAUCAGCCUUCAAGAUCAAGCAAAAAAGCCAACAAAAAAGAUCAGAUUCAAUUUCGAGGCCACACUUGAAAUCGCAACAGAGUAGUGAUCAUAGAGGAUCUUCAAGACAAUUUAAAUACCAUGUGCAAUGCUCAUUUCUGAGAUCUGAUAUAACUAUUGAAUCAAUCGACGUAGACUACUGUUAUCUUCAGAAUGCUCAAUCUUAUUGCCAUGUGCAAAUAGAUACAAUGUGCUAUUUAUAUACAAAGCAUUCUAGCUUAUCUAUUUACGAACUAUGUUAGGAGCUAGUAACCGUAUAUAUAUACUUAAUAGAGAUUGAGGAUGAUAAUCACACAAAGUCACUAGACGAGUUAACCAAAGAGAGAGAGUGUGUGAUGAACCUGAAAAAACAUGGUGAGCAUGUCUGAAGGAGAGACAGGCACAGAGACAGUCUCUUGUUGUUGUUGUUGCUCUUCAUCUGCAAGAGCAACACCUUCUCCUCCUUCUCCAACCGACGAAAGCUUCCUAAACCCAAGGCGAUUCUGUUUCGUAAACCCCGAGAAAUUGCAAAUUCGGCUAUAAACGACGGGCCUGGUUCGAAAGCUGACGUUUUUCGAUAGAGGAAGAAGAUGGGUCGAAGAAAGAUUAGGGCUUUUGGCUGUCGAAAACGAGUGAAAAGUAGAAGAAGCUGCAAUCGACGCCAUUUUCGUUUCGCUACUACACAAUCUUCUUCACUCGAUAAGGUUGUGAGUUGAAAGAAAAAGGGGUUUUUGCUCCACGCUAUUUCAGAGUAUUCUUUCCCUUCUCACAUUAUCCACUCGAAGAGAUUAAGCAAUCAUGUCAAAAUACAUAAAUACCCUUUGACAAAUUAUUCAGUUUUACAUGAAAAAAACUGAAAUUUUAAAUUUACCAUUCUAAAAUUUUAAAGAGUUUAGUUAAUUCAGAGAAAAAAAAACUAUAAAUUUUAGAUUUUUGAAAACUUGAAUUUUAUUUUAUAUAUAAAAAAAUUAACCGAGAAGGUGUUGAAAUGUUAUGAUUAUAUAAAAUGGUUGAAACUAAACUCAUACUUACAAUGGGUACUUACUAUUUGUUGUCUGUGUAAUUGUGAGCCAAUACUAAACAAAUCGUUAAUGACGUUUUCCUUCUUUUCUCGUGCUAUUAUACACGACGUCAUGCUACUGUUUUCAAAACGCAAAUGUGUUUGUAUUCACACUUUUGUGUUAUUUCAAAGUCAACAAAAAUCGCCUCCUAAGUUUCCAUCGAGAAUGUGUUAACAAAAUAAAAGCUUCAUGGAGAAGGAGAACGAAUCUUCGCGGAAAAGAGAUAUCAACUAUUUAUAGUUUAUCGACGCCGAGUAAUUAACUAUUUAUUUUGGCUAUUUAAGGUGAUCAAUAUUAUGAGAAAAUGACUCCUCUCAAUUUCAGACAUUAACUGUCAACUUGCGAUCGAUAAUUCGUCCCUUUUAAUUGCCUUCUACCGCCGAUCUGUUCCUGCUCACGCCAUGGAUUCUUCUUCACUGUAAGUAUUACGGUUACUUCCUUUUUCUUUCUUUUAGUUUCUCCGUUUCUCAACUUCUUGCGGCUCAAUCAUUGAAUUUAAAUCCUUUUUGUUUUGUUUUGUUUGAUAUUGUCUUUUUUUGAAAAUCUUUUUUGGACAUUUGACUAAUUUUUUGGGGGUUUCCUUGGUUUUAGAAAGGGUUUUCAGCUCGGGAAGCUUAUGUUGAGCUCAGGUCUCUUACACAGCUCAUGGAGUAAGAUCUCUGAGAUACACAAAUCAAGCUAUCCGAAUAAAGAUUCAGCUUUGGGAAUCAAGAUUUAUGAAGAAGCUAGAUUCACCUUUGUGGUUUUCGCUGCACCACCGAUUCGCAGAAAUUGCUCUUUAAACUCUGCUUCGACUCUUCUUUCCGGGACACCAAAUCAAAAUCCGUUUCACUUCCUCUGUUCCGAGAAGAUCUCAUCAUUCUCUCUUCACACACCUGCGUUUCAGCUUUUUGUCUCUGCCUAUAAGGAAAAUCUCCUUCACCUCAAAUCAAAGGUAAUGUUUUUAUUCCACUCAAUAGCUGUCUCUUUUUUUCUCUUCAGAAUUUGCUUAGAGUCUGGCUUUUUUCAAGGCAACGACUUUACCAAACACUGUCUGAGGUUAAGACCAACACCAAAAUCUUGAGACUUAGUUUAUUUUGUCUGCUUAAACAUAAUUGUCUUGCAAUUUCACUCAACUAGCUUUUGGUACUCUGUUCAUAAUUUGUUUCUCUCUGUAGUUCACAAAAGUCAACAACUUUGUGAAUCUUGAAAAGUUAUAUGUGUGGCCUUUUGCAGUUGCUCGAGUCAAAGAAACCGGUGAUCAUCACCGGAGCUGCGUUAGGAGGAUCCGCCGCAUCUCUCUUCACGCUAUGGCUUCUAGAAACUAUCAAGCCAAAACGACCACGCCCCUUGUGCAUCACGUUUGGAUCUCCCUUAAUCGGAGACGCUUCAUUGCAACAGAUUCUUGAGAAUUCCUUGAGGAACUCAUGUUUCUUCCACGUGGCUGAUGCUUCACAAAACCCCAUCACGGCGGGUUUCUUGAAGCCUUUUGGAACGUUCUUGAUCUGUUUUGAAUCUGAAUGUAUCUGCAUUCAAGACCACGAGGCGGUCUUGGAAUUGCUAAUCGGUGUUGACAAGGAUCUAGUAGGCUGGAGAGACUACGGAGAAGUUCUUGAUCGUCUGGAUCAACCAGUGUUAUCAUCGGCGGAUUCAAAACUGAUGAAGAUUGAUGAUGUUAUCAGUCGAAUGGAAGAACGUGCAGGGGAGAAGAAGCAGCGUUUUGAUCAGCUUAAGAAACUAAACGACAUUAAACUAUCAAUGGUGUAUCUAGAGUGGUACAAAAAGAAAAGCAAGAGGGACAAGAUUGGUUACUACGACCGGUUCAAGACACAUAUCGCGUCUUAUGUUUCACCAGUCGAUAUGGAUGUUGAGAAGCGGAAAAGAGAGCUAAACGAUUACUGGAAAUCAUUGGUUGAAGAAGUGGAGAAGAAGCCUCAGAGUGAGAAAUCGGUUCUCAAGACGCGGUCUCUCUUCUCAGGGAACAAUUAUAGACGGAUGCUCGAACCGCUAGACAUUGCUGAGUAUUACCUUAGUGGUAAGAAGGAGUAUCGAACCAAGGGAAGGUCUCGUCACUAUGUUAUGCUCGAGAAGUGGUUCAAGGCGGAAAUGAUAGAACCGGUUAGAUGCGAAAGUAGAGAUCUGAGUGAUCUUUUGACGUUUGAUUCUUGUUUUUGGGCUGAAGUUGAGGAAGCGUUGAUUGUAAUCAAUGAGCUGAAAACACAAGUGGUGAUGAGAGACGACGAGAGAGAGGUGUUGUUGGAAAAACUCGUGAGGUUUGAGGGAUACGUGUGGGAGAUGAUCAGAAAACGUGAGGUUUCACCGGAGAUUUUCUUGGAGAAGAGCAGUUUCAUGAAGUGGUGGAAAGAGUACAAAGGCUUUAGGUCUUCACCUUCAGGAUUCACUGAGUUUAUGAACACUAGGAUGUACGAGACUUAUGGUCAGGUCUCCUGAAGAUGAAUGAUUUAACGGUUACACUGCAUUUUGAGUCGAUGAUUGAUUAAUAUUUUUAUUUACAAGAAAUUAUUAGUUUUUAUGAAAUUUCACUGCCAAUUUCUUUUCGUAAAAAAAGAAAUAGAAUCUGCUCUCUUCUCUUGUAUAAAAAAAAAAGUUUUAAAAAGCAAAAGUUUGAAUUGUAGAGCGGAUUCAUAUAUUUUUUAAAAAGCAAAAUAAGGUAGUAAAUAGAAUCUGCUCUCUUCUCUGAUGGUGUUUGUAACAUUAGUAAACAAACAUUUACUACCUGAUUUCAAAGUGGCAAACAAACCAACAGUAAAACGAACAAAAAGUAUAACUACACAUCUCAGCAUUCACUGUGACUACAGCCACAUCUGCAAAAUUUAUAAAAAAAUCAAUUUUCAUAUAUAAAUUCUAGAACAGGAAAUAUUAUAGAAUUCAUUUGACGCUUCUCCCAUUUUCUUUAACUUGUAUAUGAGAUUUGAUUUAUUAAAAUAAACACACAGUUGCCGUAAAAAGAAUAAGACAAAAAUAAAUACACACUACAUCAAAAUAUCACAAUAUAUAUAUAUAUAUAUAUAUAUAUAUAUAUAUAUAUAUAUAAACAAGUGACACUAACUUAAAUUUUAAAAUUGAUAUUGAAAUAGUCAAAAUAUUACUAAAGAUAAUCUAGUGUCUCGUGUGACUUAGAGGCGUAAUUAAAAAGGUUAGAUGAUAAUGGGCGUCAAUAUUUUGCUCUCAAGACCUUCCUGAAUGAUCUCAAACACAUAAAGUCAUAAACACUGAUCAUAUAUUCGGGCCUAAUGGUCGGGCAGAGAUGUUUUGGAUCACUGUCAAAACUAUUUCUAAGAAUGGUUUGUUGAUCCUAACGCAAUUGGAGUUUACUGCAUCUACCAUUUUAACUGAUUAGUCUUUCACCUUGAGGAUAAGGUGGAUUUGGUUGACAUGGGUAUUGAUACCACCCAAAAUAUUAGUGUUUGAGGAUCAUUCGAAAGGUCUUGAGAGGACUUAAUUAUCAAAUACAUUAUAUAUACAUGUAAGUUUAUUCUACAUUUUCUUUGUGAUAUGAUCAAGUGGUUUAAAGAUAAACUCAUGGCUGGGAGCGUUGACACUUACUGUAACGCUACUAUCUUUAAAUAUGCAAAUUUUGUAUUCACACUUGUGUGAAUCGUAUAUGGAACAAGUCUUCUUGAGAUAUUUUCGUGGAAAAGAGAGAGGAACAGUUAACUAUUAUCUUUUAUUAAUCAUUUGACUGUACAAUACUGUUUUAUAUUUUAUAUAUAUUUUAAAUAUUCAUGUAUGUAUAUAACUACGGGCCCAUAUAACUACAGUCUUUUUGAGACAUCAAUCCUUGUCUGCUUUCGAUAGUUUUGUCCCUCUGAACUUUCUUCUCCACAUAUUGUUCUAACUCGAUCAGGCCAUGGAUUCUUCGUCACUGUAAGUAUUACGAUUACUCUCUUUCAAUUUUUGUUUAGUCUUUGCUCAACUUCUUGCGCUCAUUGACUAUAUAGGACUGUGGACAUUGACUAAAUUUCUUGUCCGUGGUUUUAGAAAGGGUAUUGAGCUUGGGAAGCUUAUUUUGACCUCUGGUCUCUUAGACAGCUCGUGGACUAAGAUCUCAGAGAUACAGAAAUCAAGCUCUCGAGGAUUCAAGAUUUACCAAGAAGCCAAAUUUACAUUUGUGGUUUUCUCUGCGCCACCGAUUAGCAGAAAUGGAUCUUAUGCUUCUGCUUCUGCUCCCACUCCUGUUCCUGGUCCUGAGCCAGAAGCUCCUAAUCCGUUUCACUUCCUCUGCUCCGAGACAACCCCCUCAUUCACUCUUCAUACACCUGCUUUUGAGCUUUUUAAUAAAUAUCUCCCUGAUUUCAAAUCAGAGGUAAUUUUCAAUUCCGCUCGAAAUUAGUCUUUGAUACUCUGUUCUGUCUAAUCUAGUAUGGGUUUCCGAGUCAUCAACUCUGUGAAUACUAAAAGUUAUCUGUGUCUUGUAGUUGCUGAUCGACUCAGAGCAAAUGUCUUAUACUUCUGCUUCUAGUCCUGUUCCUGAUCAAGAUCCUGAGUCAAAAGUUAACAAUAAAACUAUCCCUCAACUCAAAUUAGAGGUAAUGUUUAACUCCACUCAAAGACUAGCCCUUUGAUAAACUCUCUUUAGACAUGAUUGUCUUGUGCCUCUGCUUAAACAUAUCUCUCCUUGCAAUUUCAGUCAAUAGCUUCUGAUACUCUGUUCUGACUAAAGGUUUCCAAGUCAACAACAACUCUAUGAAUCUUAAAAGCUAUCUGUGUCUUGUAGUUUCUGGAAUCAAAGAAACCGGUGAUCAUCACCGGAGCUGGGUUAGGAGGAUCCGUCGCAUCUCUCUUUACACUAUGGAUGCUAGAAACAGUCAAGCCAGGACAAAAAUUUCCCUUGUGCAUCACGUUUGGCUCGCCUUUCGUUGGAGACGCCAGGCUGCGACAGAAUCUAGAGAACUCCGUGAGCAAAUCAUGUUUCCUUCACGUGGCUGAUGCUGCACAAACUCCCAUCACAGAGGGUUUCAAGCCUUUUGGAACCUACUUGAUCUGUAAUGAUCAAACCGAGUGUGUUUGCAUCGAGGACCCUGAAGCGGUCAUGGAGUUGCUAAAGGGUGUUAACUCGGAUCUAGUAGAAGACUACGGCGAGAUUCUACAUCGUCUGAACCAGUCGGUGUUAUCUAUGGAGGAUUCAGGAUUGAUGAGUGAUGAUCUCAUAAAACGAAUGAAGGAACGUGCGGAAAAGAAGGUGCGUUUUGACCCGUUUAAGAAACUAAACGACAUGAAGAUCUUAAUGGCGUAUCUAGAAUGGUACAAAAAGGUAAGCAGGUGGGACAAGAACGGUUACUACGAUCAGUAUCGGUUGCAGAUUCCAACCAAAGCCAAAGCCAAUAUAAAGGUUGAGGCGUUUAAGAAAGAGCUAAACGGUUACUGGACAUCGGUGGUUGAAGAUGCAAAGAAGAAGCCUCAGAGCGAUAUAUCAAUUCUCAAGAGACGGUUUCUAUUCGCAGGGAACAAUUACAGAAGAAUGAUUGAACCGCUCGAUAUUGCUGAAUAUUACCGCAACUGUAAGACAGAGUAUCUGGAAACCUCCUCAGUUGAAGGAGGAAGGUCUUCCCACUAUGUUAUGCUCGAGAAAUGGUUUGGAAAUGCAUCGAUAGAACCUUUUAGAUGCGAGAAUAGAGAUCUGAGUGAUCUUUUAACGUUUGAUUCUUGCUUCUGGGCUGAAGUGGAGGAAGCCUUGGUCGUAAUCAAUGAGAUGAAAACACACGAGGGGAUGACUGACGAGGUAUCGAUCGCAAAACUCGUCAAGUUUGAGGAAUACGUGUGGGAGAUGAUCGGAAAACGUGAGGUUUCGCCGGAGAUUUUCUUGGAGAAGAGCAGUUUCAUGAAGUGGUGGAAACAGUACAAAGAGAUCAGUGAUUCACCUUCAGAGUUUACCAACUUUAUGAACACUGGGAAGUAUGAGAGUUAUGGUCAGUAAAUUAUGAAUUUGUUUACAUCGCUUUUCUUGUUUUUAUUUUUUUUAUUUUUUUUUUUUUAAAAGAGCGUCACUGACCCUUUUUAAAACUCAUUCGAAUUUAGGUAAGCCUGCGUGGAACUCAGGCUGAAACAGCCACUUGCAUGCACAGCUAGUCAAAAUCACGUCACAAUGACGAAUGACCACAAGGUUCACAAGACUGCCUUUCUCAAAGCAUAAAAAAAUAGGCACAUUCUUCUACUCAGCCAAAGUGGAAACCUUCAAGUGAGUAGUCACCAUAUCUUUCAUUUAUAUUUUGAUGGUUUGCUUGUAAGCAAAUGUUUAGUUGACUUCAAUACAGCAAACAAAUUAACAAAAAAGGGACAAUUUACACAACAUCCACAAACAGCACACCAAAUAUUUGAUUUAAGAGAAAAAAAAAACAACAAUAUUCACAAUGCACAUCACUCUGGCUUCAAGUUAUCAAUCAAACUCUUUCUUUCUUACAAAAGCAUAGUACUAUUUUGAACGUACUCCCAUGAAAUAAUUACUCCACCAGGACUUUUAAAUCCUUCAAUCCCAAUCUUUCUGAAUUGUUUCGUCACUAAAUUGUAAUAGACAACAUAGAAAUCAAUACCAUACCUCGGCGUUAAAAUAAUCUCACCCAUGGGAGUGAUACCCUCAACGUUAAAUUUAACAUUAGGUUGUAUCCACGACCUUGUAGAAAAAGAUAUCUUCGACCAUUCAUGCUCCUUAGCAUCUUCCAAAACCCACAAUUCAUAUGUAUCGUAACCUUUUGAAUAUGCUAAUGCUAUUUUCCCAUGGUAGUUCAUUAGAGUUGAUGUAUAAUAACUUAGACUAUGGACAGACUCAGGCAUUUCAGUAAAACCAAACUCUUCCGUCCUCACAUAAAAUCUCACUAAGAUAAGAUGCUUCAUACUCUCCCCUGUGUAAGCACCGUAAUACACAGCCCCGUUGAUGCAUAUGCUUAUAGUUCCAGGACAAUGGAUGGUGUAACACUCGACCAUUCUCCAUGAACCUUGAGCUCCUAAUGUAAAAACUUUAUGUUCCCUAUAUGGUAUUAUGCUAUCUCCACUAUGAUUACCAGGCAAUGGAGUCAUGGACAAAUACCUUAUAUUGCUCGUUGACCGGAUCGAAUCCAAGAAAGUUUUCCACGUAUGGUCCAACGUUUUGACCAACAUAGAUUCUCGGUAAGGUAAGAGAUUUUUCUGUGGUGGGAUUAUAAAUCACUGGAUUCCUACCAUAUCCACAACAUAUCAAGCCAUUGACUUCUUGAGGCUGACGACAUCUAGAUCUGGAACCAGAGACGUGACAUGUGGUACGAGAAACAAUAGAUGAUGUUCCUUCUUGGCUUGACAAGAAGAACCAAUUCUCGAAUCUUGUUUGGUAAUAAUCCCUUACAAAGAAGAGGAUACGCAACUGAGAUUGGAAAGAUUUGAUGAAAUCUUGACUGCGGAUUAUGGAUGCCCAAAUUAAAGCUUUGAUACGCAGACACAUCUCGCUAGGGAUUUCGCCGGCAAUCUUAAGAAGAUAACGAACAAAAGUUCUAGAGGAAUUGGAUCCGAGUGUCGUCCUUUUAUAACUCCACCGUUGUUUUCUUGUUCCUUGGAUGGCCUUUCCAUGGUGGCUAUUGACUAAACCGUAUUGUGUUUCUAGCUAUGAUGUUUUGUUGAAAACAAUUUAGUAAUUGAUUUUGGGAUAAAAAGCCAUUAAAAGUUGACAUUAGUCCCUAAGAAACCGUAUUCUUAUACUGAUGCACGUCUUGAUCAUAGAGAAAAACUCCACCGCCAACGAUAGAGAUAUAUAUAAAGAAUUAGCAAAAAAAUUAUUAAUUUUGUGAAAGGAAAAAUCGUUUCGGAUUCUUAAACGGGCACAAGUCCGUAACGAAGCUUACUUUAAUUUGCCGAACGCUGCAUGUGCCUUACAAAUAUCACUAAUUUACUGCCGUAUGUUAAUGUCACUAAUUUUAAAAUUCCAAGAACAACUUGCAUGGUAGUUGACUAAAACCAUUGUUAUACAUAUAAACAUAUCCUAAAAUACACUUGUUUAUUAAAAAAAAAAUUGAUGCUGUUAUUGACCAAAAUCAUUGGCUUGGCUUCAAUUUCGAUUCUGUCUUAAUUUCUUCAAAAGUUCAUCUCUUCUUAACCGAUUUUACGGCAUUUAGUUAUCGUAAAUGCUUUAAACUAACCGGACAACAAGAACUAUUAACGAAGACUUGGACGACAAACUUCGUAUCUUAACAAUACGGAAGUAUUUCCAUUUAGAUUGUAUUUACAUAUUUGAUGUAUAUUCUCUUAGAUUUGCUAUCACCGACAUAUGUAUAUAUAUAUAUAUAUAUCGACCUUUAGGUCUUGUGAAUAAUAAGAGAGAAUUCUAGUUUAUGAACUUCUCAUGGUAGCAGAGCCACGAAAGAGUUAAUCAGUGAUUCUCUCUCGAAUUUGAAACUUUGAGUUCUUAAUCAGUUGUUUUUUUCCCGAUCGGUUGAUAUCGUUUGAUUUUUCGACCUUGAUCUCGUUUCUGCGAUGGCCAAAAACGAUGGUACUGUUGCAGAGACAUCGACGACCACGACGAGGAAGACGAUUUCUUCCUACGACCUCACCUCUGGAGAUAAUCCUGGAGCUGUGAUUUCUCAGCCUUUGCUCAACGGGCAAAACUAUGAUGAAUGGGCUCAAAAUCUACGUUUGGCUUUGAGUGCUCGAAAAAAGUUUGCUUUCGUCGAUGGAAGCAUUCCGAAACCGUCCGAUGGAUCACCAGACCUUGAGGAUUGGACGGCAAACAAUCACUUGAUCGUCACUUGGAUUAAAUUGACGAUCGAACCGAAAAUUCGUACCAACAUCUCUCAUCGGGAGUUGGCUAAAGACUUGUGGGAUCAUAUUAAGAGGCGUUUUACUCUCAAAAGUGGAGCACGAUUUCAACAACUUCGUGGCGAACUCGCUAAUUGUCGACAGAUGGGCUCCUCCAUCGAUGAGUACUUUGGGCGUUUGACAAAGAUUUGGGACGCCAUGAGUGAUUGCUUGCCGAUGAAGACUUGUGCUUGUAACAAGUGUGAAUGUGACUUACCAACAGCUCACGACAAGCAAAGAGACAUGAUUCGUGUUCAUGAUUUUCUCUUUGGGCUUGAUGAUGCCACACAUGGUGCUGUACGUUCUCAAAUUUGUGCGCAGAUUCCUUUGCCUGACCUCGACACCGUUUAUCAAACGAUCAUGCAAAACGAGACUGUGCAGAUAAAUGCGAAAAAAGACGCCACUCCGGUUAUGAGUUUUGCAGCUCAGGCAUCAUCAUCUGCUCCACGGCGUAACAAUGGAGUAGAGAAUGGGAACUCUCGAUCUCGCAACUUCAAUGGAGGAUCGAACGCUGGGUCGAAUGUGGUCUGUACGAGUUGUGGACGAACAGGACACAUCGCAUCAACUUGUUUUCGGGUGAUAGGCUUUCCUGAGUGGUGGGGCG